rnacentral:rRNA from 1 species
AACGAACGCUGGCGGCAUGCCUAACACAUGCAAGUCGAACGAGACCUUCGGGUCUAGUGGCGCACGGGUGCGUAACGCGUGGGAACCUGCCCUUAGGUUCGGAAUAACUCCCCGAAAGGGGUGCUAAUACCGGAUCAUGUCUUCGGACCAAAGAUUUAUCGCCUUUGGUUGGGCCCGCGUUGGAUUCGCUAGUUGGUAGGGUAAAAGCCUAUCAAGGCGACGAUUCAUAGCUGGGUUGUGAGGCAGAUUAGCCACACCUGGACGGGGCAGCGGCCCAGACUCCUCCGCGAUGCGGCAAUGGGGAAUAUUGGACAAUCGCCGGAGGCCUGAUCCAGCACUGCCGCUAGAGUGAUGAAAGCCUUAAGGUUGUAAAGCUCUUUUACCCGGGAUGAUAAUGACGGUACCGGGAGAAUAAGCUCCGGCUAACUCCGUG